rnacentral:rRNA from 1 species
UACAGAGGUCUCAAGCGUUGUUCGGAUUCAUUGGGCGUAAAGGGUGCGUAGGUGGCGCGGUAAGUCGGGUGUGAAAUCUCGGAGCUUAACUCCGAAAUUGCAUUCGAUACUGCCGUGCUUGAGGACUGGAGAGGAGACUGGAAUUCAUGGUGUAGCAGUGAAAUGCGUAGAGAUCAGGAGGAACACCCGUGGCGAAGGCGGCCCUCUGGCUCGACCCUGACGCUGAGGCGCGAAAGCGUGGGGAGCGAACGGG